GUCGAUUUUGAAUAAAUCGUCAAUUCAUUUGACCAAUCUACCCUUUUUAGGGUCAUCCGGUCGAUUUUUAAUAAAUUGUCAAUUUCAUUUGACCAAUUAAGGUUUCAAUGUCGAAUUUCAAAAUGGAAAACCUAGUCGAUUUUGAGAAAAACAUCCAUUGCAUCCAGCCAUUUGAUCAGUUGGAGUUUUGACCCGUGCUUCACUGAGAAAAGUUGUCAAAACGAAUUCCAAUCUCUUUGAUAGGAAGUUCGUCAACGUCAAACCCGUACGUUUUUCGCAAAUUCUUGUAUCGAUCAAAAGUGAUCAAUCCCUUCGGACGAGGUCCUCAUUUUGACCAACGUCUCUUCUCAUUCCAAUGGGCCAAAU
rnacentral:lncRNA from 1 species